rnacentral:piRNA from 1 species
UAAUCCCAUGGGCUAGCCUUUGGAUUGGU